AUGUGCUUCUACCUGUGAGGUGCAGGUGGAUUAAAGGCUACCCCUGGACCAGAAACCUACAAGAUCUACAGUUCAACCUUCUGGUUACUCAAGACCCUGCCAAAUAUGGCAACCCUGUGGCUUCAGUAGGAUUGUCAACCUUUGAUAAAGAAACACAUCAGCUCUAUUAUUGGACCUCUCCCGGACUCCUGCUCUUAAGACCGCAACCAGAAGAUUUUUCCCAGCUCCUAGCUCCCCUGGCAACAAAGCUUACAGAGAAGCUAGGUGAGCAUGUCUGUGAGACCAGACCAAUGCUCCCUGUGAACCUCAGAACGUGACCAGAUGAAUAAACCUGUUAAACUGUUUUCCUGUCUCCCCAGUGUGGUUAUGCAUGUGGGUCAAACAAUUAUCUAAGACUAUGACAAACAUGAUUAAAAAUGAUCUCUCCUCCUCA